GAUGAAGAACGCAGCGAAAUGCGAUAAGUAAUGUGAAUUGCAGAAUUCAGUGAAUCAUCGAAUCUUUGAACGCACAUUGCGCCCGCCAGUAUUCUGGCGGGCAUGCCUGUUAGAGCGUCAUUUCAACCAUCAAGCCCUGCUUGCGUUGGGGUCCUGCGGCUGCCCGCAGGCCCUGAAAACCAGUGGCGGGCUCGCUAGUCACACCGAGCGCAGUAAUACAUCUCGCUUUGGGCGUGCGGCGGGUUCUUGCCGUUAAACACCCCCUUUUUACCAAGGUUGACCUCGGAUCAGGUAGGAAUACCCGCUGAACUUAAGCAUAUCAAUAAGCGGAGGA
rnacentral:misc_RNA from 1 species